AUGUAUGUCAGUAUAUGGGGAUGUUUCCCGGACAUUCAACGUCGGGGAACAGGAAAAAUAAAAGGGGAGAUAAAAUCCCCCCUUUUUUAUUAAC
rnacentral:sRNA from 1 species